GACGAACGCUGGCGGCGUGCCUAAUACAUGCAAGUCGAACGAACUCUGGUAUUGAUUGGUGCUUGCAUCAUGAUUUACAUUUGAGUGAGUGGCGAACUGGUGAGUAACACGUGGGAAACCUGCCCAGAAGCGGGGGAUAACACCUGGAAACAGAUGCUAAUACCGCAUAACAACUUGGACCGCAUGGUCCGAGUUUGAAAGAUGGCUUCGGCUAUCACUUUUGGAUGGUCCCGCGGCGUAUUAGCUAGAUGGUGAGGUAACGGCUCACCAUGGCAAUGAUACGUAGCCGACCUGAGAGGGUAAUCGGCCACAUUGGGACUGAGACACGGCCCAAACUCCUACGGGAGGCAGCAGUAGGGAAUCUUCCACAAUGGACGAAAGUCUGAUGGAGCAACGCCGCGUGAGUGAAGAAGGGUUUCGGCUCGUAAAACUCUGUUGUUAAAGAAGAACAUAUCUGAGAGUAACUGUUCAGGUAUUGACGGUAUUUAACCAGAAAGCCACGGCUAACUACGUGCCAGCAGCCGCGGUAAUACGUAGGUGGCAAGCGUUGUCCGGAUUUAUUGGGCGUAAAGCGAGCGCAGGCGGUUUUUUAAGUCUGAUGUGAAAGCCUUCGGCUCAACCGAAGAAGUGCAUCGGAAACUGGGAAACUUGAGUGCAGAAGAGGACAGUGGAACUCCAUGUGUAGCGGUGAAAUGCGUAGAUAUAUGGAGGAACACCAGUGGCGAAGGCGGCUGUCUGGUCUGUAACUGACGCUGAGGCUCGAAAGUAUGGGUAGCAAACAGGAUUAGAUACCCUGGUAGUCCAUACCGUAAACGAUGAAUGCUAAGUGUUGGAGGGUUUCCGCCCUUCAGUGCUGCAGCUAACGCAUUAAGCAUUCCGCCUGGGGAGUACGGCCGCAAGGCUGAAACUCAAAGGAAUUGACGGGGGCCCGCACAAGCGGUGGAGCAUGUGGUUUAAUUCGAAGCUACGCGAAGAACCUUACCAGGUCUUGACAUACUAUGCAAAUCUAAGAGAUUAGACGUUCCCUUCGGGGACAUGGAUACAGGUGGUGCAUGGUUGUCGUCAGCUCGUGUCGUGAGAUGUUGGGUUAAGUCCCGCAACGAGCGCAACCCUUAUUAUCAGUUGCCAGCAUUAAGUUGGGCACUCUGGUGAGACUGCCGGUGACAAACCGGAGGAAGGUGGGGAUGACGUCAAAUCAUCAUGCCCCUUAUGACCUGGGCUACACACGUGCUACAAUGGAUGGUACAACGAGUUGCGAACUCGCGAGAGUAAGCUAAUCUCUUAAAGCCAUUCUCAGUUCGGAUUGUAGGCUGCAACUCGCCUACAUGAAGUCGGAAUCGCUAGUAAUCGCGGAUCAGCAUGCCGCGGUGAAUACGUUCCCGGGCCUUGUACACACCGCCCGUCACACCAUGAGAGUUUGUAACACCCAAAGUCGGUGGGGUAACCUUUUAGGAACCAGCCGCCUAAGGUGGGACAGAUGAUUAGGGUG
rnacentral:rRNA from 1 species